rnacentral:rRNA from 1 species
GUCUAUGGCCAUACCACCCUGAACAAGCCCGAUCCCAUCAAUCUCGGAAGCUAAGCAGGGUCGGGCCUGGUUAGUACCUGGAUGGGAGACCACCUAGGAAGACCAGGUGCUAUAGGCG